AGAGACUUAGGUUCAACACAAAGACCCGGGUCCUUCAAAGUCCUAAGUGGGGGUGAAAAUCCCUCAGUCUCUG
rnacentral:tRNA from 1 species